AAAAAAAAAAAAAUCUUUGGCCAGUCCUAAUCAAGGCGUGUGUUACAGGUCUCUCGUGUGGAUUUUCUGAUGUCUGAUAAGGUGUGAGCUAUUUUUGAGGCUUUUCCCGCACUCAGAGCAUCCUUAAGGUUUCUCACCAGUGUGGAUUCUCUGAUGUAUAAUCAGGUCAGGUCAGAGCUCCGUCUGCAGCUUUUCCCACACUCAGAGCAUGUGAAGGGCGUCUCCCUGUGGAUUCUCUGAUGCGUGAUAAGGUUUGAAGUCCAAUUGAAGCUUUACCCACCCCAAAAGCAUGUCUAGGGCGUCUCUCCGGUGUGGAGUCUCUGAUGCUUGGUAAGCUCCCAGUGCCGACG